rnacentral:rRNA from 1 species
UGGGGAAUUUUGGACAAUGGGGGAAACCCUGAUCCAGCCAUCCCGCGUGUGCGAUGAAGGCCUUCGGGUUGUAAAGCACUUUUGGCAGGAAAGAAACGUCAUGGGUUAAUACCCCGUGAAACUGACGGUACCUGCAGAAUAAGCACCGGCUAACUACGUGCCAGCAGCCGCGGUAAUACGUAGGGUGCAAGCGUUAAUCGGAAUUACUGGGCGUAAAGCGUGCGCAGGCGGUUCGGAAAGAAAGAUGUGAAAUCCCAGAGCUCAACUUUGGAACUGCAUUUUUAACUACCGAGCUAGAGUGUGUCAGAGGGAGGUGGAAUUCCGCGUGUAGCAGUGAAAUGCGUAGAUAUGCGGAGGAACACCGAUGGCGAAGGCAGCCUCCUGGGAUAACACUGACGCUCAUGCACGAAAGCGUGGGGAGCAAACAGG